rnacentral:rRNA from 1 species
ACAGGGGGGGCAAGCGUUGUUCGGAAUUACUGGGCGUAAAGGGCUCGUAGGUGGCCCUCUAAGUCAGACGUGAAAUCCCUCGGCUUAACCGGGGAACUGCGUCUGAUACUGGAGGGCUUGAGUUUGGGAGAGGGAUGCGGAAUUCCAGGUGUAGCGGUGAAAUGCGUAGAUAUCUGGAGGAACACCGGUGGCGAAGGCGAGCUUCUGGGCUGUCCCUGACGCUGAUGCGCGAAAGCUGGGGGAGCAAACAGGA